UUCCUAGUGAGAGAUAAAGGCACAUCACAACCCAGGUCUAUCAACAGCUAAAACCUCUAUCCUUUCUUCACACCUUAGUGGCCUUCUAAAGCUGGAGUUACUUAGUGGACAUAUCUUCACUCAGUCCAAGCAGUCUCUGGAAGCCCAGUCUGAGCUCUUGCAUCCUGAGUGCAUAGACCAUGGGAUUGAGUGCAGGGGGGAUGACAUUGUGCAGUACAUUAAGGAGCACAGGGAUUCGGGGCAUAUUUUUCUCUGCAAGGUAUGUGACAGACAGCACAGUGAUACUUGUAUAGAAGAAGAGGAUGAGAAUGAGGUGGGAGCUACAGGUCCCCAGAGCUUUGAUAUUGCUUCUGGUGAGUUCAACCUCAGCACAGAGUGAAGGAUUAACACGUAGGAAGAAAAAACCAGAGCCAUAUCACUCCCAAUCAGGAUCCAUGCUAAGAUCAGUUGGUAAAAUUUGUUCACAGUGAUGUCAUUACAGGCUAGACUGGUGACCCCCAAAUUAGAGCACAGGCAGUGGUCAAUUUCAUUCUUGGAGCAAUAGUGUCUCUGGGCAGACAGUAUUGGAACUGGGAUAAUAAACAGUCCAUUCCUGAGCACCAUGAAUCCUGUGGCUUUGACCACAAAAGUGUCAGUGACUAUAGACAGGUAUCGAAGGGGGUGACAGAUGGCUAUAUAUCUGUCCAAUGCCAUGCAGAGGAAGAU
rnacentral:lncRNA from 1 species